GCCACUGUAGUGUAGUGAUUUGAACGUUUGACUAGGACUUUGAGAGUCCAGGGUUCGAAUCCCUGUUCAGCCG